rnacentral:rRNA from 1 species
UACGUAGGGUGCAAGCGUUAAUCGGAAUUACUGGGCGUAAAGCGUGCGCAGGCGGUUUGCUAAGACAGUUGUGAAAUCCCCGGGCUUAACCUGGGAACUGCAAUUGUGACUGGCAGGCUAGAGUACGGCAGAGGGGGGUGGAAUUCCUGGUGUAGCAGUGUAAUGCGUAGAGAUCAGGAGGAACACCGAUGGCGAAGGCAGCCCCCUGGGCUAGUACUGACGCUCAUGCACGAAAGCGUGGGGAGCAAACAGGAUUAGAUACCCUGGUAGUCCACGCCCUAAACGAUGUCAAUUAGUUGUUGGUAGGGUUAAACCUAUUAGUAACGUAGCUAACGCGUUAAGUUGACCGCCUGGGGAGUACGGUCGCAAGAUUAAA